GUCUCCCCCAUCUCCCUAUCUGUUGCAGACUGGCGGCGGUACAGAUCCGGCGGGACACCGUCGCUGUGCGCAGUCCUUUCCCCCAACUACUCCGGCUCUAAGGUCUGGGAUCCGCCUCCCGGGCAGCCCCGACGUUGCUCUCCAUCUCAUCGUCGGGGACCCAGCCGCCGCUGCCGCCAAGGUCUACUCCCUGGGGGCACCACCUCGGCUUCACCGUGCCGGACUACGGCGUCUUCGCGACCGGCCCGAAGAGCCAUGGCACGGACGUGUUCGAGAAGACGCAGCCUGACGGCCGGGCGCGACUGGUCUUCUUCCUCGACCCCGACGAUAUUAAUUCUCCAGUGCUUCUCAUUGAUGAUGCCAGUACACCGAAAAAGAAACAAGCCUUCUCUCAAGAGGUACCAACAUUGGUCACUGCGUGUGAUGGAUAGAUCCAAGCUCGUCGACAAGUACUAAGUUAGUCCUCCGCUUCUUACAAAAAUGAGAUACAAUAAGUUCAUAGCAUUGUCGUGUGAGGUUAAUGUUACUAUACUCUCAAUUGGCGUUGCAAGGCUAUUUGUAUAAACCCCAGUGUGACGUGGAAUUGAGGCCAAAAGUGGGGAUGCUAUUUGAUGACAUUGAUCGGUAAUGGAAUUUUACAGAACAUAUGCACACCAUGUUGGAUUUGGUGUACGUCUUGGGCAGCAAAAGAUCGUAGGUAAUGUGCUUCACUGGAAGUGCUUGUGUGCAAAGGAAGGUUUUCGGCCCGAGAAAGGUACGUUUGUUGUUGAUCCUUCAAAGAAAGGGAGAAACGUGAAAUUGACUAUAUGUGGUUAUAGGUAAUAUUGUUCUUGUCGAACUCAUGAAUGCUCUUGAGUCUUGAGUGAUUAAACUAUCCAGUGCCUUCUCUGUCCAGCAUAGAAGCAUUUAGGUUGUGUUUUGGGAUGAAUUUGUCUCUAAUUUUCCUUCCAUGUGGUAUGUGCAGCAAACAAUCGAAUGUUGUUGUUGAUGCAUAUUCAUUUCAGUAGGUAACAAUGAUUAGAAAAUUAAGUACGAAUGCAUGACACUUGCAUGGACUUGUGCUAACUGAAUCUUAUUUGCUAGGUCUGAUGUCUCCCAGCACAAGAUUGAUAAGCAAGAAGCUGCACAAGAAGAUCGAUAGGCAAGAAGCACUAGUACUGGAGGCAAAAGGCUAUAGCUUUUCCUGUUGCGUACCAUCAACAUAGCAGAAGUUGAUGCAGAUUCUAACGGCAAUGCUUGUUCAGCAGUGUUGAUUUUAGUCCUUCAUACUUAGUGUUGUCUGUGAUGUACCAAAAAUGAUCCUCUCAUGCUAUGUGACACUCUGAAUGUAUGCGUGUCUCUUCUGUUCUGUUAUGUUUAGGAUCAUGCAAUUUCAAAUGAUGUUUAGUUAUGAUUUAAAGCGGAUGGAUUAAUUUUCUCAUGCCUCAAAUAUUUCUGAUGAUGUUCCCAUA